rnacentral:rRNA from 1 species
GACGGAGGAUGCAAGCGUUAUCCGGCAUGAUUGGGCGUAAAGCGUUCGCAGGUGGCUGUUCAAGUCUGCUGUCAAAGACCGGGGCUUAACCCUAGAAAGGCAGUGGAAACUGAACGGCUGGAGUGCAGUAGGGGUAGAGGGAAUUCCCAGUGUAGCGGUGAAAUGCGUAGAGAUUGGGAAGAACACCGGUGGCGAAAGCGCUCUGCUGGACUGCAACUGACACUGAGGGACGAAUGCUAGAGGAGCGAAAGGG